GUGCUUCACGCGCCCGCCCGCGCCGCUCGGAGGGAGGAAGCGCGGUGAGUGCCGUGGCGACUGCCGGGGCCGAUAACCUUCUGGGAGCCGGCCGCCAGCGGGAUGCAAGGACCUCAGCUAGUGUGCCACGCGGGCCAGCUAUGCAGGGGACAGGGCCUGGGAAACUUCGACCUGGGUUCGUUUCCGAGUCUGCCGCGGGACCUCAGCGUCCUCGCCUGUUUAAUGGGACACUGCCGUGAAAACGGACAUGCAACGCCGGGACCUUCCGAGGCCUGCAGGCCCGAGCACGACUAGUCGAGAAACUCCUUGGGCGGCGAAAGGGCGCCCUCGUAGCGCUCUCGCCUGUCCUGCCUGCGCGCCCACCUGGAGGUGGCCUCUGGGGCUUCCGGUCUCCGGAGAACACGCGGGAAUGAGAGGGUCUGAGCGCGCCGCGCGCUUCCGGCAGGGCCGGGCGCUGUGCUGGGUGAGAGGAGACCGAACUUCAAAGCAGGCGGGCAGAGGGGCGAGGGGCUCCGCCAAGCCCCGGGGCCCUCACCUUCCGGCGGGCUGAGGGAGGGCUCGCCGGAGCAGCGCCAGGCUGCGAGGGAGGUGCCGGGACCCGCUGAGAACUUCCGGGCCCUGCGGGCCUGGUGGCGGGGACUCCAGCCACAGUGCAGAGGUGCGCAAGUCGGGCCCGGGCGACUCUGGGGAGGGGACCCCGAGCUGGACCCGUGGGCCUCGGAGCAGAGAGCGGGGCUGAGGGCAGGGAGUGUGCGGAUGCCCCGGAGUUCGAGCCCGUGGUCGUGGCGGGUAGCUGUGGGGUAGGGUGGUGGGGAGAGCUGAGCGGACGUGGCCCACCCGUCUCCUGACGUUCGCGGUGGGCGGGGCCCCUUGGUCCUUGCAGCGUCCUGUGGGCGACUUCUCCCUGCCCUUCCCCAGGGCCUCAGGGCGGUUUAGACUGUCCUCCUGGAUCCGGCCAGGCCUGAGACUUCUUCACUGUGGGGCCGACUUUCCUCCUUUAGGGCCUCCGGCAAGACCCUGUGCCACGUUUCGCCGCCCUUUUCGUCCUGUGUUGCCAGGUUCUGCAGUACAGCCACUGAUUGCAGUGAAUGCGUGUCCGUGGAGGGACCUUACCUGGGGAGGAUGCCAGCGUCUGUCACUGGUGAAACUUGGUGAUACAGAAGCCAGGGGAUUCCACUGCUCCUGUGUGUUUCAGUUUAUCCUUAGGAUCUAAAUUUAACCAUCGUUAAGCAGAGACCCAAACCCCAGGGCUGCUGACUCCUAGUCCAGUGCUCGUGAUGGCUGGUGGGCCCUGAACUAGGGGUCUGGAGGCCUAGGUUUGAAUAUCACCAGCCUUCGACCCAGCCAGGUGGCUCAUGGGAUGCGUUGGGGAGACUGUGAAAGGUCGGAGCACAACAAGACACUGAGUCAGGAAAAAAUAUUACAUAAAAACUGAUAAGACAAGGACAGUCUGUUUUGCUUUAUUUUUUAAGAGAACAUGUGUGCCUUUAAGUGGGUACUGUGCCUGGGGUGGUAGCACUGAGCUCUGCCUCCCUGGGGGUCUUGGGAAGGGGCCAAGCAGCAGCCUGGUACACAGUAGACAAACCAUGGCUGAGCUCAGAAACCCUGCAGGGAGGCCUCAUGGGAGCCCCCUGCAAGGAUCCAGGUGAGGCCUGCAGGCCUCUAGCUGUGGCCCUGCCAGGACAGCAGGACAGUGGGGGUGGGCUGGUGGUGGGGAACAGCAUUCUGCCUAGGGCCAGUCAGCAGGGGAGAGGUGGGGGUGGGAGGCACUUAAGGUGGGACCAGGAUCUGACCUGCUUACCUCAGGUGCCCCGGGGCCUCUUGGUGGGCACUGGGUAGGGGACUGGGGGUAGGUACUGAGAUGGGCUUUGUGAAUCACCUCCCUAAAGAGUCCCUGUUGCCCGAGAAUUCUUCAUCCUGGCGUGGCUGUGCCUGGUGCUGGGGACACAACAGACAGCAGUCUUCCACCUCCUUGGCCUCCGUGUGGUUGGAGAGAGAGAGAGAGCAAGCAGAAGGCAACACCGAGUAACCGGAUGGACAUGUGCUGCCGCACAGAGCCUGCCUUUCACUCCCAGGACCAGAGGGAGGCUGGAAGCGGAACUGUCUCAGGGGAUGAGUCAGGUCACUGAUAAGGGUGGAUUUUUAUUUGGUAAUUUAUUUUAUCAUUUCUUACACAAGACAGUGGGGAAACAGCCAUCAGCAGGCAGAAAGGAAAAGCAAGUCCUCUGCUCUCCGGGCUCUGGAAUCUAUUGAAUUAAAUGAGAAGUGGGCUGUCAGUUGGUUCCCAUCUCAGUGCCAUGAGCCCCUGAGGCCCAGGGUGACCUGGCUACAGCCUCACUGCUUGUCUUUCAUCCCCUAAUUGCUCCACUCAGGUUUGCACUCCCACCUCAGGGCCUUUGUACUGGCUGCUCCUGUACCCGCUCCUGGGAAGCUCAUUCCCCAUCCCCCAACCUUGCAUAGAUCUAUCUCCAGAACUUCCUUUGUCCCCUCAGAAGGAGCUUGGCUAACCCUCUGCUGUGAUCUUCGUGUUCAUGUGUUGAAAUCCUACCCUCCAACAUGAUGGCAUUAGGAAGAGAGCCUCUGCAGGCUUGACAGCUGACCCUUCUCCGGGGACAUGUGGCUUGUGAGAGAAACACAAGGGAUGGUUCCAGUUUUUCUAAGAUGUAUUUUAAGAAUUAAAAACAUCAGGAACAGAGUGCCCCCCUGCUGAACUGCGUUCCACCAUGGUGGGGAGGGUACUGAGCAGGACGCCUGGGGGAGGCUUGUCCUGUGGCUUUGAUGAUGGCGUCUGUCCUCAUUUGACUUCUGCUGUGGAAUCAGCUACCCCUUGGGCCCUGCAGGGCUGAGUCAUGUCUUAGGGAAACAGCUAAGAGGCACAGUCCCAGGCCCCACCCCAAAACUAAGGAGACAGCCCCCACGAGCAGGUAGGAUGCAUCUGCAUUUAAGCCAACAUUUUCCCUAAGGGGCUUUAGCACUCAGGUUCAGUGUCUUCAAAGAUCUCAGCUCAGACCCUUCCUGCAGGUCUUUGCUUUAGAUUGUGUGGGACGGGGUCUGGGAGGAUUCUGGUGCCCAGCAGUACCCUGCCCUGGUUCUGUGCUUCCAUGGCAAAACGGUUCUGGCUUUGUGGGAAAUGAAGAUAGGAGUUUAUUUGAUAAACCAGCUAAAUUAC
rnacentral:lncRNA from 1 species